rnacentral:rRNA from 1 species
GACGAACGCUGGCGGCGUGCCUAAUACAUGCAAGUAGAACGCACAGUUUAUACCGUAGCUUGCUACACCAUAGACUGUGAGUUGCGAACGGGUGAGUAACGCGUAGGUAACCUGCCUGGUAGCGGGGGAUAACUAUUGGAAACGAUAGCUAGUACCGCAUAAUAUUAAUUAUUGCAUGAUAAUUAAUUGAAAGGUGCAAUUGCACCACUACCAGAUGGACCUGCGUUGUAUUAGCUAGUAGGCGAGGUAACGGCUCACCUAGGCGACGAUACAUAGCCGACCGGAGAGGGUGAUCGGCCACACUGGGACUGAGACACGGCCCAGACUCCUACGGGAGGCAGCAGUAGGGAAUCUUCGGCAAUGGACGAAAGUCUGACCGAGCAACGCCGCGUGAGUGAAGAAGGUUUUCGGAUCGUAAAGCUCUGUUGUAAGAGAAGAACGGGUGUGAGAGUGGAAAGUUCACACUGUGACGGUAUCUUACCAGAAAGGGACGGCUAACUACGUG